rnacentral:lncRNA from 1 species
GUGCAUUGAAGGGAAGAAAAUACGGUGAUUAUCUGGUGCAAAACAACCAUAAUCGAGCAGCUAUUUUGGCGCUAAACGGUAAGCAUACAGCAGCAAUUUAAAUGGGAACAAUUGGUGCAAUGGAGGGAAAUGAAGUAACAAAAGGAAUUCCAUUAAAACCAGCAACAAUAGCAAAGUAAUGGAUUGUGGAACAGCUGGUUAUUAAUCACUAAUAGCAGCAGCAAAAACAGCGAAAGCGUGACAAACUUUAGUGUUUUCUUGAAAGCAAACAGCAGCUAGCUGAUGAAGCAAAUAAUUGAUGAAUGGCGUGGGAAAUUUUGAGGUCAUUUGAGCGGUAACUGAAGUAACAAUUAAGGAAAAUAAUCGAUGAUGGAUGGAGUGGAUAUGUAGUUGUUGAAGUAGACAUGCAUGCAGCACAUGAACAGCCAAGGAGCAGACCAUGCAGCCCAAGUUAUGUGGAUGAAAUGUGAAGAUCAAGCUGUUGUAGUAUUUCUGGAUGAAGUACAUGUAGCUACUGAAGUUGAUGCUACUGUUCAAUUUCGGUUUUAUUUUGCUACUUUAAGUAAU